rnacentral:rRNA from 1 species
GACGAACGCUGGCGGCAGGCCUAACACAUGCAAGUCGAGCGGACCUUUCGGGGUCAGCGGCGGACGGGUGAGUAACGCGUGGGAAUAUGCCCUUCUCUACGGAAUAGUCCUGGGAAACUGGGGUAAAACCGUAUACGGCCCUUGGGGGAAAGAUUUAUCGGGGAAGGAUUAGCCCGCGUUGGAUUAGGUAGUUGGUGGGGUAAUGGCCUACCAAGCCGACGAUCCAUAGCUGGUUUGAGAGGAUGAUCAGCCACACUGGGACUGAGACACGGCCCAGACUCCUACGGGAGGCAGCAGUGGGGAAUCUUAGACAAUGGGGGCAACCCUGAUCGAGCCAUGCCGCGUGAGUGAUGAAGGCCUUAGGGUUGUAAAGCUCUUUCAGCUGGGAAGAUAAUGACGGUACCAGCAGAAGAAGCCCCGGCUAACUCCGUG